GAUGAACGCUGGCGGCGUGCCUAAUACAUGCAAGUCGAGCGAACGGACGAGAAGCUUGCUUUUCUGAUGUUAGCGGCGGACGGGUGAGUAACACGUGGAUAACCUACCUAUAAGACUGGGAUAACUUCGGGAAACCGGAGCUAAUACCGGAUAAUAUUUUGAACCGCAUGGUUCAAAAGUGAAAGACGGUCUUGCUGUCACUUAUAGAUGGAUCCGCGCUGCAUUAGCUAGUUGGUAAGGUAACGGCUUACCAAGGCAACGAUGCAUAGCCGACCUGGGAGGGUGAUCGGCCACACUGGAACUGAGACACGGUCCAGACUCCUACGGGAGGCAGCAGUAGGGAAUCUUCCGCAAUGGGCGAAAGCCUGACGGAGCAACGCCGCGUGAGUGAUGAAGGUCUUCGGAUCGUAAAACUCUGUUAUUAGGGAAGAACAUAUGUGUAAGUAACUGUGCACAUCUUGACGGUACCUAAUCAGAAAGCCACGGCUAACUACGUG
rnacentral:rRNA from 1 species